UACAGAGGUCUCGAGCGUUAGGCGGAAUCACUGGGCUUAAAGCGUGUGUAGGCGGAUUGGUAAGUACCUUGUGAAAUCCCACGGCUUAACCGUGGAACUGCUUGGUAUACUGCCUGUCUUGAGCCAGCUAGGGGCGACCGGAACAAAUGGUGGAGCGGUGAAAAUGCGUAGAUAUCAUUUGGAACGCCAAUGGUGAAAACAGGUCGCUGGGGCUGUGCUG
rnacentral:rRNA from 1 species